GACGAACGCUGACGGUGUGCUUUAGACAUGCAAGUCGAACGAGAAAGCCCUUCGGGUGAGUAAAGUGGCGAACGGGUGAGUAACACGUGGGCAACCUGCCCCUCGCGGGGGGACAACCGGAGGAAACUCCGGCUAAUACCCCGUACGCUUACGGGAUCGCAUGAUCCCAUAAGGAAAGGUAGCUUCGGCCAACCGGCGAGGGAUGGGCCCGCGGUACAUUAGCUAGUUGGUGGGGUAACGGCCCACCAAGGCGACGAUGUAAGCUGGUCUGAGAGGAAUGAUCAGCCACACUGGGACUGAGACACGGCCCAGACUCCUACGGGAGGCAGCAGUCGGGAAUCUUGCGCAAUGGCGAAAGCCUGACGCAGCAACACCGUGUG
rnacentral:rRNA from 1 species